GUGAACAUGUGAAAGAGAAAAAGUUAACCCUCCUCUUGACAAGGGUGGAAAAAGCCAUUGAUACUGACAACAUAUAUAUGUUUAAGGUACUGCCAAUUACUUUGUGUUGUUUAAAUAAUGUUUUCU